UGUUCUUUAAAAAAAAAAAAAAAGGAGUGGGUGGAGAUGGGGCGGAACUCUGUUACCCGACUAUGGACUGUAGAAAACAAGGGGGGGAAACCAGAAGGACGGGAAGAAGGUAGUUUCAUUUUUGCAUUGUUUGUGGUUCCUUUCUCCUUCCUUACCUAAACUUCGGGGUAGAUCAACAGUUGACUAACAAAGGGAAGACAGUGGCCAGAUGGGGACAGAGCUACUCACAUUCUUGCUGGCUCCAAGCCAACCUUGAGGACACCUUGGGUUUAGAUCAGAGCACCCACAGCAAUCUUGGAAGUUGUGACUGACCUCAGGGAAAAUCCAGAAUGGUGAGAGGGACCAAGGUCAGUGAACUGGAGGGAGAGCAGAGUAGGGAAGGCUGUUUAAGGGGAAGACCUGGGGUCUAAAGGCCCUGGAAGGUGCCCCUGCCUCAUGGCUGCUGGGCUACCUCAUCCAGUACCACACAUGACUGGUAAACAGUUUCUAGAGGGCUUUCACCCAACUCUGGACUUGCAAGCAGCCCUGCAAAGACAGGAGAAGCCUGCAGCUGGGAGAGUCAUAAGACCUCAGGAAGAAGAAUCCUACCCUCUUGACCUUUUGCCUUCUGUUGGAGUGAAGCUGCGCUUCUGCAGACCCUUGCAGAGUUGUCCUCUCAGGAGAGCUGUGGAAAGGCAGGCUACAGGACCUUCCGAGAAUGACUUAGGAAUUUCCAUUUAUCUAGGGCAAAGUUUGUUUGAGACUGUCUGAAAACUGGUGGCAUGUCUGCUCCGAAGUAUGAUUGGAGGAAAGAUUUUUAUUGUAGACAGAGGGAGAGCACAGCCAGAGGCACCUGGGAGAGUCCAUAGAGAAAGAAAUAGACUGAGCUUGGCCUUGAGGCUUGGGGGUGAGGUAGCAAGGGAUGAAGAUGGAAGAGGACAGAGAGGAAGACAGCAUGGGACAGCAGAAAUAGCAGGGUUGUGAGGACAAUGAGAAGCUGAGGAGAAGCUUCUGAGCUUGGGAAGUUUAGGGUAGGGGUUGGGGUGAGAAGGGCUGGGAUGCUCGCAUGGACUCUGAAAUGUGUAAUAGGUACUUGUGACACUGCGGGAGCCUAGAGGCCAGCAUGCUCUUUGUUAUGCUAAUAGGCACCGCCAGUAGCCAUUUGUCCCUUCUGCCAGUGAUAAGGAAAUGGCUCCUUUGGUAGAGGGGAACUGCUUUACAGGUUCCUGAGGAAUUCUGGCUUUGGACCUGACAGAGACACUGUCGCCUAUGCUGACCAGGAAUUCACAAUGUAAUCCAGUUCUCCAGCUCCCAAGUGCUAGGAUUGCAGGUAUUAACCACCACACUGGUCUCAUCAGGAAAGCUCUAUGCUUGGGACGAAGAUGGGUCACCACAGGGGCUCUGGCAACCCAACUUUCCCAGGAGAGAGACUGCCACACUAUGUGUUCCUAGCUCUGGCUCCUCCAGUCUAUAGACAAGCUGUAGAGCAUUUCUCAGCUUUGAAGAAGACUGUAAACUCAUUUCUUCAUAUAUUCUUUUUUUUCUUGUGGGUGGGCAUUUGGAUCCACUGUCAGGCCUUAGAGGCAUGGGAUCCACUAACAGGAGCCUGGAGGAGCGAGGCUGACCCUAACAAAACUUGGCACCUAAAGGGAGAAUUCCCUCUCAGAACCUGGCAUCUAUGUAGAGAGGAUCCACUCAGAACUUGGUGCUGGUGGAGACAGUUACUAACAGACAUGGUGUCUGUGGAAGGACAGUGUCUGGUUGCAACUCCGUAGUUUUGACUGACCUUUCAGCCUUCCUGGACCCUGUUUCAGUUUGAAGCAGCUAUAGAAAGGAUGUUUGCAAAAGCAUGUGCCUGACACAGCCACUUUUCAAUGUCCCUGUAAGAAUGCAAGGCAGAGAGUAGAGUCAUGUAUCAGGACAGUUAAAAAUUCAGGGAACAUAACGCAGAGGGUCCCAUAGAGGCAGUUGUUGGAAGCCAACCUUUGUCUCCCGUACCUGCCUAGCUGGGAAGCUGGGAGGUGGGAGACCAUUGUUAAAAAAGUCUACCUCUGUACACAGUGACUGCCAGGAUGUCUGCUCUUAAGGCAGAAAGUGGUUGUUAAAGAUUAACAGUGACUGCCAGCUCUUUGUUUGAGCUUACAAUAUUAUAUGUCCAUAUUCCUGGACCCUUCGUUUCAAAUCUUUGAUUCAUUUUGAUCAUCUUAAAGUCUCUGACUUGGCCAGACCCAUAAAUUGAGAGACUGGAGGAGGGACAUGGAGAAGACUUAUAUUACUUUGUCUAGGCAAAGGGGUGCAAUCAAUUCUCCGGUGUCCUGCUGCUUGUCCACAGCCUGGGCCAGGUCCUGGCAGCAGGUGUUGCAUUGGGGCAUCUUGCCCAGCACUUAGCAUUUCCAUAAUCCAGGUACAGAUGUCAUGGUGCCCUGCAGUCUUCUUUGGAGACCCUGGAUCCCUGGAACACUUGUGGAUUGAGUCCUCAGAUGGAGAUCACAUCCGUCCCAACAGACUCACAGAUCAGAACCAACAAACAAGAAAAACAAGGUGGCAUGAUCCCUCUAAAGGAACAUAACAGCUCCACUGCCAGAUCCAAGAUACUGAAUUCGGGUAAAGUGCCAGAGGAAGAAUUCAGAAGUGGAGUAGAGCAAAGGCUGAGUGGUUAAGAGCACUUGCUUUUCUUCCAGAAGAUCUGAAUUCAACUCCCAGCACCCACAUCACAGCCCCGGGGGUUGACGAUGCUGCUCCCUUGUGGGCACCUGCACUCACAUGCAGACAUACCUAUCUACUCAUAAUUGUUUUUAUCUUAACAAUGGGCACAUAGUGUGUUUAAAAAAGUUAAGUUUACUUGUAAAAAUAAUAACUUCAAAGACAACAGGAGACAAAGGAAGAAAAUAAUUCAGGACUUGAACAAAUUUAGCAAUGUGGAUGCAAAACUCACAGCAAGGCAUGUUUUGGAUGAAGAACAUAAAUGUUAGAAAUGAAAGUACUGCCAAUUAACAGACCAUUGGUAAAGACUUACCAGGAUUGGAAGACAAGGCCAAAGAAUACUAUAGUUAGCAAUAAAGAACAAAAAAAAAUGUAUAUGCAUAACCACAGCUUACAAGAACUUUGGGAUAAUGUCAAGAAACCAAACCUGACGGUAUCCUGUUGCAUACUUUUAAUUCCUCAGAGGCAGAGGCAGAAGAAUUUCUUGAGUGAUUCUAUUCCAAAUAUUACGAAAAAUUGAAUACUAGUUAAAAUAAAUGUACCCUACUGUUCUAA